rnacentral:rRNA from 1 species
AUACGUAGGUGACAAGCGUUAUCCGGAUUUACUGGGCGUAAAGGGCGUGUAGGCGGUCUUGCAAGUCAGAAGUGAAAUUCCUGAGCUCAACUCGGGCGCUGCUUCUGAAACUGCAGGACUUGAGUGCUGGAGGGGAUAGCGGAAUUCCUAGUGGAGCGGUAAAAUGCGUAGAUAUUAGGAGGAACACCAGUGGCGAAGGCGGCUUUCUGGACUGUAACUGACACUGAGGCAUGAAAGCGUGGGUAGCAAACAGGAUUAGAUACCCUGGUAGUCCACGCCGUAAACGAUGGGUACUAGGUGUAGGAGGUAUCGACCCCUUCUGUGCCGUCGUUAGCACAAUAAGUACCCCGCCUGGGGAGUACGGUCGCAAGGUUGAAACUCAAAUGAAUUGACGGGG